rnacentral:rRNA from 1 species
UACGUAGGGUGCAAGCGUUGUCCGGAAUUAUUGGGCGUAAAGAGCUCGUAGGCGGUCUGUCGCGUCUGCUGUGAAAACUCAGGGCUUAACCCUGAGCUUGCAGUGGGUACGGGCAGACUAGAGUGCGGUAGGGGAGACUGGAAUUCCUGGUGUAGCGGUGAAAUGCGCAGAUAUCGGGAGGAACACCGGUGGCGAAGGCGGUUCUCUGGGCCUGUACUGACGCUGAGGAGCGAAAGCGUGGGGAGCGAACAGG